AAAGAAAUCAUUCUGUGAAAAUGGAAGCACCGAAAACUAAAAAAAAAACAAAAAAAAAAAAAAGAAGAAGAAGAAAAAGUGGCUUUGACAAUGGAAUGGCUCUCUGUAAUAAAAAAAAUCCGAGGUCGGCCAUUGAUCCAAGCAUGGCAGGAGUAGCAGGUACAUAUGUCUUGGACUUAAACGAAGUCUAAGCAUGGGUGGCUUGCAAUGUAAACUAUAUUUGCGGAGAGGAUUCUUCAGUUCAUCGACAAAUAUUGAUCCUCUACAAGAGCACUCGGAUCAUGAGAUACGAGAGGUUUUCUUGCAAUCCGACAGGAAUUUUACGCAAAUAUUCCCGCUGAGAGUGUGACGCAAGGAUGAAACAUUGGAAAAUUAAAUAUAAUAGCCACCACAUAUGUAUGAAUGUAUAGGGUAAUUGGUUUGCGAACAUUAUUUAUUUCAUUUUGUUAAUGCAAAUUAAUACAAAAACUAAUUAAACUUGUUUUUUUU